AAAAUUUUAAUGGUCGAACAGACCAAAUAUUUUUAGCUUCUACACCAAAAAUUAAUUUUAAUCCAACAUCGAGGUCGCAAUCUCUUUUUUCGAUUUGAACUCUAAAAAAAUAUUACGCUGUUAUCCCUAAGGUAAUUUUAUCUUUUAAUCAUAAUUAAUGGAUCAAAUUUUCAUAAAUUAAUGUUAUUAUUAAAAAAAAGUUUAUUAAAUUUUUCAACCACCCCAAUCAAAUAAAAUUUAAUAAUCUAAUUUAAAAUUUAUAAAAAUUUAAAUAAUUAAAUUUUAUUAAACUCUAUAGGGUCUUCUCGUCUUUUAAAACAAUUUAAGCUUUUUAACUUAAAAAUAAAAUUAUUUUAUAAAUUAAAUAGAGACAGUUUUUUUUUCAUUCAACCCUUCAUUCCAGCUUUCAAUUAAAAAACUAAUGAUUAUGCUACCUUUGCACAGUCAAAAUACUGCGGCCAUUUAAUUAUUCAGUGGGCAGGUAAGACCUUAAAUUUUAAACAAAAGGCC
rnacentral:rRNA from 1 species